rnacentral:rRNA from 1 species
AGUGAACGCUGGCGGUAGGCCUAACACAUGCAAGUCGAACGGCAGCACAGUAAGAGCUUGCUCUUACGGGUGGGGAGUGGCGGACGGGUGAGGAAUACAUCGGAAUCUACUUUUUCGUGGGGGAUAACGUAGGGAAACUUACGCUAAUACCGCAUACGACCUACGGGUGAAAGCAGGGGAUCUUCGGACCUUGCGCGAUUGAAUGAGCCGAUGUCGGAUUAGCUAGUUGGCGGGGUAAAGGCCCACCAAGGCGACGAUCCGUAGCUGGUCUGAGAGGAUGGUCGGCCACACUGGAACUGAGACACCGUCCAGACUCCUGCGGGAGGGAGCAGUGGGGAAUGUUGGACAAUGGGCGCAAGCCUGGUCCAGCCAUACCGCGUGGGUGAAGAAGGCCUUCGGGUUGGAAAGCCCUUUUGUUGGGAAAGAAAAGCAGCAGGUUAAUACCCCGCUGUUCUGACGGUACCCAAAGAAUAAGCACCGGCUAACUUCGUG